rnacentral:SRP_RNA from 2 species
GCUGGGUGUGGUGGCGCACGCCUGUAGUCCCAGCUACUCAGGAGGCUGAGGCAGAAGAAUCGCUUGAACCUGGGAGGCAGAGGUUGCAGUGAGCUGGGAUUGUGCCACUGUACUCCAGCCUGGGUGACAGAGUGAGACUCCGUCUCAA